rnacentral:rRNA from 1 species
GACGAACGCUGGCGGCGUGCUAAUACAUGCAAGUAGAACGCUGAAGGAGGAGCUUGCUCUUCUGGAUGAGUUGCGAACGGGUGAGUAACGCGUAGGUAACCUGCCUGGUAGCGGGGGAUAACUAUUGGAAACGAUAGCUAAUACCGCAUAACAGUAGAUGUUGCAUGACAUUUACUUAAAAGGUGCAAUUGCAUCACUACCAGAUGGACCUGCGUUGUAUUAGCUAGUUGGUGGGGUAACGGCUCACCAAGGCGACGAUACAUAGCCGACCUGAGAGGGUGAUCGGCCACACUGGGACUGAGACGCGGCCCAGACUCCUACGGGAGGCAGCAGUAGGGAAUCUUCGGCAAUGGACGGAAGUCUGACCGAGCAACGCCGCGUGAGUGAAGAAGGUUUUCGGAUCGUAAAGCUCUGUUGUAAGAGAAGAACGAGUGUGAGAGUGGAAAGUUCACACUGUGACGGUAUCUUACCAGAAAGGGACGGCUAACUACGUGCCAGCAGCCGCGGUAAUACGUAGGUCCCGAGCGUUGUCCGGAUUUAUUGGGCGUAAAGCGAGCGCAGGCGGUUAGAUAAGUCUGAAGUUAAAGGCUGUGGCUUAACCAUAGUACGCUUUGGAAACUGUUUAACUUGAGUGCAAGAGGGGAGAGUGGAAUUCCAUGUGUAGCGGUGAAAUGCGUAGAUAUAUGGAGGAACACCGGUGGCGAAAGCGGCUCUCUGGCUUGUAACUGACGCUGAGGCUCGAAAGCGUGGGGAGCAAACAGGAUUAGAUACCCUGGUAGUCCACGCCGUAAACGAUGAGUGCUAGGUGUUAGACCCUUUCCGGGGUUUAGUGCCGUAGCUAACGCAUUAAGCACUCC